rnacentral:rRNA from 1 species
GAUGAACGCUGACAGAAUGCUUAACACAUGCAAGUCGAUGGGGAAGUGGUGCUUGCACCAUGGUAACCAUGGCGGACGGGUGAGUAACGCGUAAGGAACUUGCCUGCGGGACUGGGAUAACAGCAGGAAACUGCUGAUAAUACCGGAUAAGGUCAUUAAGCUGCAUAGCUUAGUGAUGAAAGGAGACGCCUGCGGAGAGCCUUGCGUCCUAUUAGCUAGUUGGAGGGGUAACGGCCCACCAAGGCGAAGAUAGGUAGCCGGCCUGAGAGGGUGGACGGCCACAAGGGGACUGAGAUACGGCCCUGACGCCUACGGGAGGCAGCAGUGGGGAAUAUUGGACAAUGGGGGCAACCCUGAUCCAGCAAUUCUGUGUGCACGAAGACGGUUUUCGGAGUGUAAAGUGCUUUCAGCAGGGAAGAAGGAAGUGACGGUACCUGCAGAAGAAGCGACGGCUAAAUACGUG